GGAUUUCUAUCGAAAAAAUAUGGAAAAAGAACGCCAGAUAAAAAACACCAGAUAAAAAACGCCAAUGCUAAACCCAUAUGUCCUUUUUUAUGUCUUUUUUUCCCCAUAGGCUUCUAUAGGAGAGAAAUGCCAACACUUUGUCCAAAAAACAUCCCAUAGUCUAAGCAUGUUGUGAUUUUGGAAACCUCAGGAAAAUGUCAAAGAUAAAUGAAAAAACACCAACGGAGAAAACACCAAAUUUCCUGUUUCUUUAAAUUCCCCUUUCGCCUGGUUGACAAAGUGACGCUAUUUGGUAUUCCUCGGUCGUUCGCGAUUGGACAUGGUCACCGCUGUCUCAGCUUCCUCUGCUUGCCUAAAUGAAACAGGACAACUGCAAAGUCUUAUCCGCAACGCAAAGAUGUAGCAAGGCGACAUUCAUUUAGUCAGUAUUGUAGACUCUCAGAUCAAAGCAUGCCCUACUGAUACUAGCCUAGACAGGGCAGUGACAUACAUGCCUUUGUAUAAUUCACUGUCAUUUACUCCGCUCUCCUCCUCACUGUGCCGGUACAUUGUGUCUGCGCUGAUCACAUUUUUAUCCAUAGGGAAAAUAUAUCAAAUUAUUUGA